CGGCUUUUGCCAAAAGCAUCAGUAGAAUUGAUGGAGGCAACACCAUGCAAUGUAGAGAAUGCUGUUAGUCCACAGGCUGUGGGUGACAAGUUGUGUUGUCCACCUCUUCAGAAUUUUAAUUUGGAGAAGGAACUAAAUAAUAUACAAUACUUCACUGGAAGAGGAAGCAGCGAUGGUGUAACAAGUAGUAAAUGUCCAGCAACGCCUCCAGAGGAACCUAAGCAAUCUGAAACAAUGGCUUCUGUUUUUGCAAAGAGAUUGGAUGCACUUAGACAUGCAAACACCUCUGCAGUAAGCUUGGCUAUCGCGUGUGAGCAUGGAAGUCCCAAACUGAGAAACCACAAAACUAACUCUUUUGUUGUUAGUUACAGCAGCCAUGAUAAAGUAGAGGCAGGACAUGAAAAUCAUAAAUCUUCUAGUGGAAACGGAAGAAUAGUUUUGUGGGUAGGUGACAAAGGCAAGGAACCGAUGUGUCUAAACAAUGAAGAAUUAAGAGGAAACUUCAUAUCUGAGCGUGAGCAUCAGCAUCAUGGAGGGAACACAGCUGGAAAAUUGGCAACUCAGCAUAAUUUAGAACUGAACAU
rnacentral:lncRNA from 1 species